UACAGAGGGCGCAAGCGUUGUUCGGAAUUAUUGGGCGUAAAGCGCUGGUAGGUGGCUUGUUAAGUCGCGUGUGAAAGCUCCAGGCUCAACCUGGAAAGUGCGCGCGAAACUGGCGAGCUUGAGUGCCGGAGAGGGUCGCGGAAUUCCCAGUGUAGAGGUGAAAUUCGUAGAUAUUGGGAGGAACACCAGAGGCGAAGGCGGCGACCUGGAAGGUAACUGACACUGAGCAGCGAAAGCGUGGGGAGCAAACAGG
rnacentral:rRNA from 1 species